rnacentral:rRNA from 1 species
AAAUUGAAGAGUUUGAUCAUGGCUCAGAUUGAACGCUGGCGGCAGGCCUAACACAUGCAAGUCGAACGGUAGCACAGAGAGCUUGCUCUCGGGUGACGAGUGGCGGACGGGUGAGUAAUGUCUGGGAAACUGCCUGAUGGAGGGGGAUAACUACUGGAAACGGUAGCUAAUACCGCAUAAUGUCGCAAGACCAAAGAGGGGGACCUUCGGGCCUCUUGCCAUCAGAUGUGCCCAGAUGGGAUUAGCUAGUAGGUGGGGUAAUGGCUCACCUAGGCGACGAUCCCUAGCUGGUCUGAGAGGAUGACCAG